AUUCAAUAAAUACACUACAAAAAACAGAGAAGACAUGCAAACAACCACAUCACUUUCUUGUGUGCUCUUUAUAUACCAAGAACCAGCCAACCCCUUAUUCCCAAUUUUUUUUUUUUGUGUUAUCGUUUUGCUUCUUUUUCUC
rnacentral:ribozyme from 18 species